GACGAACGCUGGCGGCGUGCCUAAUACAUGCAAGUAGGACGCUGAAGGAGGAGCUUGCUUCUCUGGAUGAGUUGCGAACGGGUGAGUAACGCGUAGGUAACCUGCCUGGUAGCGGGGGAUAACUAUUGGAAACGAUAGCUAAUACCGCAUAAUAGUAGAUGUUGCAUGACAUUUGCUUAAAAGGUGCAAUUGCAUCACUACCAGAUGGACCUGCGUUGUAUUAGCUAGUUGGUGGGGUAACGGCUCACCAAGGCGACGAUACAUAGCCGACCUGAGAGGGUGAUCGGACACACUGGGACUGAGACACGGCCCAGACUCCUACGGGAGGGAGCAGUAGGGAAUCUUCGGCAAUGGACGGAAGUCUGACCGAGCAACGCCGCGUGAGUGAAGAAGGUUUUCGGAUCGUAAAGAUCUGUUGUAAGAGAAGAACGAGUGUGAGAGUGGAAAGUUCACACUGUGACGGUAUCUUAACAGAAAGGGACGGCUAACUACGUG
rnacentral:rRNA from 1 species